rnacentral:rRNA from 1 species
GGUGAACGCUGGCGGCGUGCUUAAGACAUGCAAGUCGAACGGCAGUCUUCGGACUGUAGUGGCGCACGGGUGAGUAACGCGUAACUGACCUACCCCAAAGUCGCGGAUAACGAUUCGAAAGAAUCGCUAAUACGUGAUGUGCUGUCAGAUUGUGUUCUGCCAGUAAAGAUUGAUUGCAUUGGGAUGGGGUUGCGUUCCAUCAGCUAGUUGGUGGGGUAAAGGCCCACCAAGGCGACGACGGAUAGCCGGCCUGAGAGGGUGGCCGGCCACAGGGGCACUGAGACACGGGUCCCACUCCUACGGGAGGCAGCAGUUAGGAAUCUUCCACAAUGGGCGAAAGCCUGAUGGAGCGACGCCGCGUGAGGGAUGAAGGUCUUCGGAUCGUAAACCUCUGAAUCAGGGACGAAAGACACUCCGGUGGGAUGACGGUACCUGAGUAAUAGCACCGGCUAACUCCGUGCCAGCCGCCGCAGUAACAC